rnacentral:lncRNA from 1 species
UUAUCUAAGCAAAUACACAUAUAUCACCCAAAACUUCCCACAGAAACUCAAAUUUAAGUACUAACAAGUUCAUAAAACAAGUUAAACGAAAGAUUACAUCAAGGGAAAAAGACAUUCAAGACAAGUAACUAUACCGAUACUUGUAUUUAAUCGAACUCACAAAGCGAUAACCGCGUGUCGUUUGUGCUUGAGGAAUGUCUGAAACUCUUUAUAACCACUCCUGUAAUGGUCCAGACUGAAAGUAAGCUGUCUUAUUACCUCUCUUUUCUCUUCAGAUACAUCUAAGAUCAUGUUCCUUUGCUUAUCCACUUCCUUCUCAAGGUCCUUUAUCUUCAAUUUCAACUCAUCUUCUAGAUUCUUUGUUAGCUGCAUAUGUUCCUUGCUUAAUUGUUGUAAAUGGUCCUCCAUUUGUCUGAUCUGUAAAUCACGAGAACGAACCUCGGCCACGAGAUUGUUUACUGUUGCAGUAACACAAUCUUUGUCUGUCAUAAGCAUAUCAUAUUUCAAUUUCAUUUUGUCAAGGUUCUUAUUCAAAGCGUCUAUGUGUAUACCUUUCUCAUUAAGUUCUGUAGGAUAUGUAGGAUAUGGCAUUUGAAAUUUAUGAUUCCUAUUUGUGGAGCAAGAUGAAUGUAUGAUUUGGUUAAGGUUGAAUGCCUUUGUAUGUGAUGUUUGAAAUGUGGUGCUAACGAGGGCUAUGUUGAUUAGGUUAUAUGAAAUUGACAUGUUUUGAGGUGUAUUUGAUGACUUUUAUAGAGUGGUUAUAGGUUUGGUUUGGUAGCCAAGAUAGGUGUGAAAUUUACCUUGUUUUGGAAGCAAAAAUUGGUGCACAUGGCGAGGGAUACGGGCUAUACACGGCCAACCCACACGGUAAUGAAUCUUAAUGAUUUUAGCUGCAGGGCACACACGGUCUAAGACACAACCAGCGACAUGGUAGUGUGACCCAACAACAAAUGGACAUAGGGGCAGUCACACGGCCAUGUGACCUUAAUUUAAAUAUACACACGGGUGGACACACGGUUAUGUGUCUCGACUUUGAAUGUCCACACGGUCUGGGCUGUUACACACGAUCGUGUGUCCCUUGUUUUCAAAAUUUUCAUCUAUUUUCUAACUUUUCCAUUUUGUUUCAAAUUACACCAGAAUGUUUCCAAUCUAUUUUUAGGGCCCCAUAAACUCAGUUUAAGGCCUGUAAGUGUAUGUUAAUUGUGAAUUGAUUGUGAAUUGAUUAAUUGUAAUUAUAUUGAAUAAUUGUUUGAAAUGUUAUCGUAAUACUCCGUGACGUCAAUUCAGCGACAGACACUAGUUAGGGGCGUUAAGUUUAAAUUGUCUUUUAUAAAUUUUAUAUAAAUGCAUGAAAAAAACAAAAAGAAACACUCUAUAAUAAUAUUUAUUUAUCAUUAAAACUUAGUUUUUUAAUACUUUUCUUGAUCGAGUUAGUGUCGAGCUAACUCAUGAUACAGUCUAAAUUCAUGACGCCAAUUCAAUCAUACACUAAAUAAUAGUAUAAAUGUUAUUGUUCAUGAAAAAAUCAAAAUAUAAAUGUUGAAUCCGAAAAUGAAAUCAACGGUUAAGAUUUGAAAUAUAAGUAGAGAUGGUAAUGGAGUGGGGCGGAAUGAUUUUUUGUCCACCCGAAUUGAUAUACCUCUAACAUAAUCCGACUUUGAUCCAACUCAAAAUUAAAUAUUAAUUUACUUAUCUUGAACCUGACUCGAAAAAUCAAAGUUAUACCCUAUUUUGAUAGAUAUACCAAUACUUUUAAUUGUUUUUAUAUAUUUUUAUCAAAAUAGAAUAAUAGUUUUAAAGUUUUUAAUGAUAACAUGACUUUUUUUUGUAGUUAUAGUUAUGGUAGGGAAAAUAUUUUUAUAAUUAUCAUAUUUUAUAAUCUAAUAUUAGAUAUAAAUGGUUAUUUUGGCAAUUUUUUUUAAAUGGGAGAAAGAAUUAUAUGAAAUUGUGAUUCCACGUUAUCUGUACCCUUUUCUAAUACGAAAAUGACAAAUCAGAAUUUAAGAUUUAAUCCAUGUACUUUAAAAGUUAAAAUUUCAAUUAUCCUACUUCUACGAUUUAAAAAUUCUAGUCCAAUUAUUAUUAUCUAUAAUUUUUUGUCAAAAAAUUCAACUUAACAUCAUAUGAAAUGUUAUAUGAUGGCAGUCUAAUCAACAUGCCAAAUUGGAAGAUUUUGAUGGAAAUUAUUAACAAUGUUAAAGAUUGGAAUGAAAUUUUUAAAUCAAAAAAGUAAGAUAGCUAAAUUCCAAAUUUUAUCUAAGUCAAAGGGACUAACAACAUAUUUUCACAAAAGGAAUUGAUAGACUAAUUUAGGUUUUAAAAUAAGAAAAAUUUUCAUUUCCAGCUAUAUUCAACUUGUAUAAAUAUGGAAGCUAGCAUAUAAGGAUAAUAACUUUUCAUGGAAUCUAAGGACAAAAAAUAAUUAACAAUAUAUUUACAGUUCAAACCUCAUAAUUUUCAACCUUAAAACAUUACAUUGAUUAAACACACAAUUAAAAAGUAUCAAGCUUUAAGAACAACCACACACUUUUUUUGUGAAAUUGAAGCCGCAAUUUUUAGCACCUACCAUGGAUUGCUGAUUUUCUGCAUUCCCAAUGAGCAAUAUACUUGCAUCCUAGUUCUGCACAUUCAAGAAAAAUAUAUUCACAAGGCUUACCACAUUCAACACAUUUAUGGUAGUAAGGAAAUUUCUUGACAAAAGUGAAAGGGUAUGGAUGGUCUACCUCAUUGUAGGUGCUCCCGAGUUUGAUGAAUGGAUAUUUUCCAAGAAUACAAUCCACGUGAGCAAAAGUCUCACAAGUUUCACAAUGAUAAAACCAGUUCUUUGAAUCCCUUUUUUCCUCACAAAUGUCACUAUACAAGCCCAUUUUGCCCGGGGCCCAAUAUGGUCCAAAUAAAACCAACCCAAUACCCACCUAGACCUAACCCAAAAUCUAAAGCCCAAUACCCAAAAUACCCCAGACCCUCGGACCCCCUCCCUUGCAGAGAAUAGAAGUGUUUUUUUUUUUAACAGAAGAGAAAUGAAAUAUUUUUAAAGGAUUUUGACUUAUAUAGGGCCCUUCAAACGACGUCGUUUAAGGGCUGGUUUUAAUGGCUCAAAACGGCGUCGUUUUAGCCUUAGGAUCCGCGUGUUAACCCGACCCGUAAGGAGGAUCAGCGUGUUUUGUUGAAACGGGGAAAUUGUGCUUUUGGCCCCUCCGUGUUUUUAAUGUUUCGCAAUCGGAUUUUCUUAUUUUUAAAAUUUACCCUUUAAUUUGUUUUGAUUUCAAUUUGACCCUCUCUGGGACAACGUCGUUUGAUAAGCAAGGGGGUAUUUCCCUCUUCGGUCAUCUGCCUUUCAUGCGUGUUACAAUUUAAUCUUUUUUUAUAUAUAUCUUUAAUUACGGCCCUAAAACAUUGUUUGAUUUUCGAUUUGAUCCUUAAUUGGCUAUUAUAAUUAUCCUUCCUAUUAAAUUGAUUAUUUUAAUUGCAUUAAUGUUAUUAUACAGCGCUAUUAUUUAUUAGUAACAUUAUUAUUUUUAUUUCAUUUAUGCAUUUUUAUUUCUAAAAGUUUAUAUAUAUAGGCAUACAUUUCUCUAAUAUAUUUAUUUUAAAAUUCUUAUAAGUAUGUUGUUAUUUCAUUUUUUAUAUAUGCUUAUUUUUAUAAUAUACAUAUACGUACAUACUUACAUUUUUGUAUUAUGAUUUGCAUACACAUUUAUAUAUCUAUAUAACAUUUCUUAUCUUCGUAAAAACGCAUAUACAAAUUUAUAUAUACCUAUAUUUUCCAUAAUAUAUAAUACCUAUACAUAUUCUUGAUUUUUAUAAAUAUAUACAUGCUACCAUAUAUCUCUUAUUACAUUUUAUAGUAUAUAUAUAUACGCACUUUCAUACUUAUAUAUUUCAUAAUUUCUAUAUACAUACACACAUAUUUUAAUUCAUAUACAUAUAUAUAUACAAAUAUAUACAUAUAUAUAUUUUAUAUAUUCUAUUUUUUUAUUUUUUUAUUUCUACUACAAUUGUGUGUUUCACGCAAUGCUUGUUUUCUAUUUUAUGCCCGUUUUACUCGAAUAGUUUAUCUGUUUAUUACCUUGCAUGAUCAAUUCGAGUUUUAUUUAUCUUUUAUUUGCUGUUGCUCAUGCUAUUUGUGUUUGCAUCAUCGUAUAUACCAUUGCUUUGUCACGCAUAUCAACAAUAUAAUCUAUUUUCUUAUUUUUUAUGACAUCGUGUUUUAUUUUAGUCGAUAUGUCAAAAUUUGUCUUAAAAAAUAGUAUUUCGUAUUUUGAUAUUCGAAAAAUCGUACCCUAACUUACGGGGUUUCGAUUUUCUCGAUAAGUCUAAAUACGCGAAUCAUUUCAAACAAAGUUUUUUUUAUGUUCUCGGGAAUUAAAGAAAGAUCGUGUUCUAACUCACGGGACAUGAUUUCUUUCCUAAACCCGAGAUAAUCAAAUAUUUUCUUUAAAAUAAGUAAAUGUUUUUUGGUAUUCAUUUUCGUAUCGAGAAUUCGAGAUAUUGUGUCAUAACUUAAAGAACGUAAUUCUCUUUCUCGAUCAAUGUAACAUAUGCCUUUUUCUCAAUUUUUUAGCAUUUCAAUAAAGGAUCGUAUUUUAUCUCCUUAAAGUUUCCAAUCUUCGACAUUAAAACACUGAUUAAUCAAUUAGGUACCAAUUUUGGGCGUUACUAGGAUGCUAAUCCUUCCUCGUACGUAACCGACUCCCGAACCUAUUUUUCUGAAUUUCGCAGACCAAAAGCAUUGUUUUAAUAAAUCUAAACCAUUUAUUAAAAAACAACUGCUUUACGAGGUGACCCGAUCACAUCUCAUCAAAAAAAGAUUGGUGGCGACUCCCACAUUCGUUUUCAUUUUUUAAAAUCCAAGUCGACCCUAUUUUAUCAAAAAAAUGGUGUCAACAGUCACAACAAUAAUAUUUUACAUAAUCAUUAAUAUUUUCAUAAGUGAGAGUAAGAAUAUAAACAUCGCAUUUGAGUUUAACUGUAGUUGGUAGCAGAACACACCAACCGCAUAAAUUAAAAUUACAAUCCUUACAACAAAAUGCGGUAAUGAUAUCCCUCCCACAAGCACUACUGCUCCUCAUAAUCAUAAUAGAAAAGUAGAGGGCGUUUAUGCCCUGGAAUUUUUACAGCAUCUUGGAGAGUUGCACAUCGAACGCACGUGUGAAUUCCACAUUCAUUACUGCAUUGAUCACAUUCCCAAUCAGAUCUUCCCACGAAUCUAUCUACCUUUCUUUAUUGGGAUAAUAUAGUUUUUGGCCCUUAAACUUAAUAAUUAAAUUUUCUUUGAUACUUGUAUUUUUUUUACUUUGGUCUUUGAAUUUGACAACUAAAUUCAUUUUGAUCCUUAAACUCGGUACUUGAGCAUUUUAUGAAUUUUAAUUAUUUAUUAAAUUAUUAUUGGUCCAACGGUUGUACUGAUCGAAUUGAGAAUCAGUGAUCUCAGUUAUUAAAACACUGAAUUUGACACUCUUAAAAUUAAUGUGUAGUAAAAUUUUAUUUUGGCCCCCAAAAUGAAAAAAUUUAUUUCAGUGCUUUUGUAAAUAAAGAAAUUAUAAAUUAAUAAAUAGUAAAAUUUCUCUUUAGCCCCUUAAAAAUGAAAAAAUAAUAAUUAAUAUAUAGUAAAAUUUCUCUUUAGCCCCUUAAAAAUGAAAAAAAUUAUGUUUAAUUCCUUAAAAAAUCAUGAAAUUAUAAAUUAAUACAUAAUAAACUUAUUUUUUAUCUAUGAAAAAAUUAUAAUUAAUUCCGCCCCUUGUUAAAAAAAAAUUCUAGAUUCACCCCUACCGAAGUGAACAAAAAAAAGUACAGAUACCAAAUUGAACUUUUAGGGGUCAAAAAUUAUAUUAUCCCUUCUUUAUCUUUCAUUUUUAUUUUCUAUUUUUUUACAAUUUUUGGCAUUUAAUUAAGAGAAAAUUGGGGCUCAUUAUCAUCUCUUAUCUCAAGGUAUUCACGGUUUAAAAUUAAGAGAAUUAAGAGAAGUUUUGAGAGGUUAAAGUUAAAAUUAUUUCAUUAAAAUAAAUAUUAAACUUUUGAAAGGAUCAAAAAUAAAAAAAAUCAUUUAACAAAAAAAUUUAAAAAGAAUUAAAUUGAAUUUUUAAUAUUUUAGAAAGACUAAAAUUAAAUUGUACCAUUUAAUCAGGUCCAUAUUCUUCUUAUAAAUCAACCCUUUAUUCAUUGAAAUAUAUAUUUGUUUCUUUGAAAAUAUUUUUUAUGAAAUAUUUUUAAAAAAUUUGUCAAAUUAAUGAAAAUAUUUUACAUCGAUUCUAAACAAAUUUUCCAGUCUAAACAAUUUUUUUUUUAUAUCUAACUAUAUUCUACUUAUAUAAAUAUGGAAGGUGGCACAUAAGGACUAAAUAUUCAUGGAAUCUAAGGAUUAUUAUGAUUUUAGUUAGCAUGCAACAAAUUUAAUAUAUGAAAAUUAAAGAAGAUAUAAGCAAAUCAUAUCAAUUUUAUUCUCAUAUAUUUACAAUUCAAAUCUAAAUACAUUACAUUGUUUAAACACACAAUUAAUAAGUAGCAACCAUUAACAAUAACCACACACUGUCUUGUUCUGAAAUUGAAGUCGCAAUUUUUAGUAUCUACCACUGAUAUCUGCAUUUCCAAUGAGCAAUAUAGUUACAUCUUGGUUCUGCACAUUCAAGAGAAAGAUCUUCACAGGGCUUAUCACAUUUAACACAUUUAGGAUAGUAAUGAAUCUUCUUGACAAAAGCGAGAGGGUGUUCAUGGUUUCCCUCAUUGUAGGUGCUUCCGAGUUUGAUGAAUGAAUAUUCUCCAAGAACGCAAUUCACGUGAACAGAAGUGUCACAAGUUUCACACUGGUAAAACCAGUACUUUGGAUCCCUUUCUUUCUCACAAAUGUCACAAUAAUGAUAUUUUGCAUAAUCAUUAACCUUGUCAUAAGUGAGUGCAAGAAUAUGUUCAUCGCAUUUGUGUCUAACUCUAGUUGGUCGUAUAACACAUAAAUUGCAUAAAUUAAAAUUGCAAUCCUUGCAACGAAAUGCGCAAGAGAUAUCCCCCCCACAACCACUACACUGCUCCUGAUAAUCAUAAUAGAGAAGAAGAGGGUGUUUAUGCCCUGGAAUUUUUACAUCAUUUUGGAGAGUUGCACAUUGAACGCACCUGUGAAUUCCACAUUCAUUACAUUUAUAAGAAAAUCCAUUAGAAAGGUACCCGCAUAUAUCACAUUCGAACAUGCAGUCUGAAGUAAGGAUGAAGGAUUUUGAUCCAGAAAAAGGCUUUCCAGCACAACGAUGAUCCAAAAUAAGGUCCAUCUUAGGUAAUUCAGCACAAGAUUUAUGAAGAAAGAAAUCACACCGCAUGCAAUGGUAGAACUUAGCGGAGAUCAAUAACAAGCACCCAUCACAACAUUUAUCACCAUGCUCGCUGAUUUUGUCACUUAACAUCAAGUAGUGCCUAUGCUUGCAAUGUUCUAUGAGUGUGGCUUCUCCAGCAUCAUUCGUCUCAAGAACCUUAGUGAUGGAGUUAACAGGUAUAUCAAGAGACUUGUCAGCUUCAUUUUCCUGUGAUACUAUGCAAUACAACUUCUUUUCUUUCAAUGCACAAUCCACAUGGAAUAUAACAUUACAAUCUGCACAGAAGUAACUACCGUGCUCUGUAUCGACAACUUCAUGGCACAUAAUGCAAUUCAAACUUUCAAAAUAUUCCUUGUGAAUGAAAUACGUGUGAAAAACACGAUGGACAUGGAAAGAGUGUUGGAGAAUGCGUGGCAAUGAAAUGCAUUUUUUAUGGACCAUAAUACUGCAUGUACAACAUGCAUAGGCAACAUGAUGUCCUUCGGUGCCACAAGCAUCACAAAUGAAUGGAAUUUGUCUCCAAAACAAGGUGAAUGGGUGUUGAUGACUUUUAUCUUCAAUAACUGGUAAUGGCGAUAAACAAUCAAUAUGAAUAGCCAAAUUACAAGUUGAGCAACCAUACAGAAAGCCUCUUUGUUGGGUUACUUGGCAUAUCUUGCAAGAAAGCCGUUCACUAUUAAAUUGCAGAAGAAGAGGAUGUUUGCGAUGGCACACAUGACCCAUUUUGGGAGGAAGCUCAGCACAUUUCUUAUGCAAAUUAAACCCACAAUCAAGAGAGAAGUAUGUAUAAAUUGCUAAUGGUUCCCAACACGCAAAGCACUUACCCAGGUUUCCACCAUCGUUCUUAGAGGAAAACGAUGGAUCCUCAAGGGCCACAUGCUCAAGCUCUUUCAAAUUUCUUUCAGCAAUAUUAAAUGUAAACAAAGCACAUUUAAUAUGAAAGUUCAAGCCACAAGAGCAAUGGUAAAUGAAUUUCUCACAUGUUUCAUCACAGAAAUCGCAAACGCACCUUGUGUAAGAAGAUGGUGGAUUCUGCAAAAGCAGGAGAGGAUGGUGGCGAUGAAAAGGAUGAUUAAGCUCCAAAGGUGCCUGGGCACACGUCUUGUGGAGGUAAAACCCACUGCACUCCACACAGCUAAAACAUGGAGCUGACACCUUCUCCCCACACCUUGAGCAAUCAACAACUCCAUUGCCAUUGCCAAGCAACUGCUCUUCAUUUAACAUCAACAGUGGAUGUUGAUGCCCGUAGUUCUUUAGCUCUUCCAUUUCUCCUUCCUCUCUGUAUCUUUCGAUGUGGUAGAGAAAGAAAAAUUGAAAUUGAAUAACUCAAAGAAAGCAGAAAAUUAGAAGGGAGAGAUUCCAAAUGUUUAUUUGUAGGAGUCUCUUUGAACUUGCUAUGGUACUUUGCUUCGACGGUGUGUUGCCUAUACCCAUAUAUGUUUCUUCUUUAUAAUUACUAUGAAUGGGAUGCAAUGGGUUUGAGUGUACUCUUAAGUAAAUUAUCAAUUUUUUUCCUUUAUUCUUUGCUUUGUGGAUUAACUAAUUUUGUGGAUUAGAUAAUGAAUAUUCUGAUAUUGUUUGUGUGUAAAAAUAUAAGAUAAUAAGAUGAAAGGUAUUUUUAUAGGUUACGAGUUUUUCAAUUGAGAAUGAUAUCAAACAAUCAAAUUAUUCUAAAAAAAUUUGAAUCAAACAAUCAAACCAUUUAUCUAAUCGAAAAUUAAAAGCCUAUUUAAUUUAUUCUGGUGAUUAGAAUAAAAAAAUUUUGAACAAAGCUAGAUAGAUUAAUUAUACAAUUACCGAGCCACCAAUCGGCUCUCUUAGGAUAAUCUGCUACAGAAAUUACUCUUAACUCCCUUGGUAUUUGCUCAACCACUUCAAUCCCAAUGGGGUCAUCGUUCAUUAAACUAACCAUAUAAUUAGAUGUGAAUGAGACAUCUUUAUUAUAGGAAUGAUCCACAUUCGCUGUCCUGCAGUACAAAACUGUUGGAACACUGGCAGCAACAACCAAACAAUGAAACACUAAGAGCAUAAGCUCUUCAAACAGCAAGCAGAAACACAAAGCAUCAAGAGCAUAAGCUCUCGGUUAACAGGCAGAAAAAAGAAAAAGAAAGAACAAUGGCAGCAGCUCUUAGAAAAAGAACAAAACAGAGAACAAAGGAGGAAGAAACAAAAAUAAUUUACUUGCUCACAAACGUGCAGCAAGGAAGCAAUCUAAGUUUCACAACUGAUAUGCUUAAUUUUUCAAUAAGAAAAACAAUACAUUUAUAGCCAACCACAUCAGUUAUUACUACCUAAUACCACUAAGUAGCCUAGUAACUUUAAAAACAUUGCUUGUACACAUGGAUAAGCUGACUUAUCAGCUCAACCAACCCAUCAAAACAUCAACAUCAAAGUUCAUUCUCAACCAAACUAAAUUACAGAAUCAUCAUAGUACCAUGCAUUUUAACAAAAACAUAAUAGCAGCAUGGUUGGCCAUUUUUAACACAAACUGAAUCUACAAGCUAAUGAUAGAAACAUAAACCAAAAUAUAUAGUACAUUGUUUGAUUAAAAUUGAAAACAUGGUUCAUAUUUGUCCACUGUAAUGUUCAGGUGUUCAAUAACAUGCAAAAGAUAUAUAUAUAUAUAUAGUCUAAUGACAGCUUCAAGUUUAUCUAAGCAAAUACGAAUAUAUCACCCAAAACUUCCCACAGAAACUCAAAUUUAAGUACUAAUAAGUUCAUAAAACAAGUUAAACGAAAGAUUACAUCAAGGGAAAAAGACAAUCCAGACAAGUAACUAUACCGAUACUCAUAUUUAAUCGAACUCAUAAAGCGAUAAACGCUUGUCGUUUGUGCUUGAGGAAUGUCUGAAGCUCUUUAUAACCACUCCUGUAAUGGUCCAGACUGAAUGUAAGCUGUCUUAUUACCUCUCUUUUCUCUUCUGACACAUCUAAGAUCAUGUUCCUUUGCUUAUCCACUUCCUUCUCAAGGUCCUUUAUCUUCAAUUUCAACUCAUCUUCUAGAUUCUUUGUUAGCUGCAUAUGUUCCUUGCUUAAUUGUUGUAAAUGAUCCUCCAUUUGUCUGAUCUGUAAAUCACGAGAACGAACCUCGGCCACGAGAUUGUUUACUGUUGCAGUAACACAAUCUUUGUCUUUCAUAAGCAUAUCAUAUUUCAAUUUCAUUUUGUCAAGGUUCUUAUUCAAAGCUUCUAUCUGUAUACCUUUCUCAUUAAGUUCGGUCUUCAAUUGAUUGAUCUGACCUUGUAAGUUGGUUUCUUGUACAGCAAGCAAGCUUUCGAUAACUGGUAAUGGCGACACACAAUCAAUGUGAAUAGCCAACUCACAAGGUGAACAACCAUACAAAUAUCCUCUUCCUUGAGUUACUUGGCAUAUUUUGCAAGCACGCCGUUCACUAUUAAAUUGCAAAACAAGAGGAUGUUUGCGAUGACACGAAUGAUCCAUUUUGAGAGGAAGCUCAGCACACCUCUUAUGCAAUUUAAACCCACAAUCAAGAAAGAAGUAUGUAUACAUUGCUAAUGGUUCCCAGCACACAAAGCACUUACCCAGGUUUCCACCAUCGUUUUUAGAGGAAAACGAUGGAUCCUCAAGGGCCACAUGCUCAAGCUCUUUCAAAUUUCUUUCAGCAAUAUUAAAUGUAAACAAAGCACAUUUAAUAUGAAAGUCCAAGCCACAAGAGCAAUGGUAAAUGAAUUUCUCACAUGCUUCGUUGCAGAAAUCGCAAACGCACCAUGUGUAAGGAGUGUAAGGUGGAUUGUUGAAGUCAACCCCCAUGCAACAGCCAAGGUGACCAUGCAAGGUGGCCAUGCAGGGAUCGUGCUUUAACAGCAAACCGAAACUGCAUUGUUUCAUUUGGUUACUCAAAUGAACAUUUUGUAUUUUAGUUUGUUUUGAACUAAGUUGGUAACUGUAUUUUGAUGUAAUUAGGUGCUGAAUGACAAGUUUAGGUAGAAGUUUAUGUUUUCAAUCAAGUUUACCAAGUUACUAGGCAAUUUAGUGGUGUUAGGUAUGUUAUUAGGUGGCAACUUGUUUGUUUUGCUGUUGUUAUCUCAUAUAUGUAUUGGUAUUAUGGCUUGUAAAAAUGUUAAUGAAAAUUCAGCUCAUUUUCAUUCAAUUUCAUCUCUUUCUUUUCUGUUCUCCAUUGCAAAAUUUCUUUCUUCUUCUUCAAUAGUUUAUUCAGCAAGGCUCGACACUUGCUGUGCAAGCAAGCUGAAACCAUCUUGCUAUUACCUCUUGCACCAACAAUUGGUAUCUAGAGCCGUUGUCUUAGUGGACCUGUUGCUUCAAACCAAGGAACCUGAUGGCUUCUUCAGGAUUUUCACCAGCAGCCCCACCAGUCUUCAAUGGAGAAAGCUUUCACAUAUGGCUGGUAAAGAUGAAGACUUACCUGCAGGCCUUUGAUCUGUGGGAAGUUGUUAACACAGAUGCUGAGCCAGCACCACUGAGGGCUAAUCCCACAGUAGCUCAGAUCAGACAACAUGCUGAUGAGAGGACCAAAAGGCACAAAGCCAUGUCCUGCAUUCAGAACUGUGUAUCAGAUGUCAUCUUUACCAAAAUUAUGGCCUGUGAGACUCCAAAACAGGCCUGGGACAAGCUUAAGGAGGAGUUUCAAGGCACUGAGAGGACAAGGCAACAACAGCUGUUGAAUUUGAGAAGGGAUUUCGAGAAUCUGAAGAUGUAGGAAGAAGAAACAGUGAAGCAGUAUUCAGAUAGAAUUAUGGCAGUGGUUAACAGUAUAAGGCUCCUAGGUGAGCACUUUGAUGAGGCAAGAAUUGUGGAGAAAGUCCUCUCCACUUUGCCUGAGAAAUAUGAAGCAAAGAUAUCCUCCCUAGAGGACUCAAGAGACCUUGCUAGCAUCUCUUUGACUGAGUUAAUCAACACCUUCUAUGCUCAGGAACAAAAGAGAGCUAGCAGAGCUGAAGAUCACCAAGAAGGUGCAUUUCAAGCCAAGGCCAGAGAAGCCUCGAGCACCAAUGCUCAAAGAGGCAAAAAGCCUUGGAAAAGCAGGCCUAAGCCUGAUGCUGCAAGGAGCAAUGACCAGCCCUGCAGAUAUUGCAAGAAGCUAGGCCAUCCAGAAGACAGAUGUUGGUUCAGGCCAGAAGCAGUAUGCCAGCACUGCAAGAAGAAGGGCCAUGUUGAAAGGGUUUGCAAAAAUAGAACCAAGCCAAGGCAGAGCCAAUUUCAACAACCAAAGGUUGAAGCUCGAGUAGCUGAGGACAGUAGUGACCAAGAGGAGCAGGUCUUUGCUGUUUCUUGCUUAACUGCUGAGAAGAAAUCUUCAAAAGGUUGGCUAUUGGACAGUGGUUGCACUAACCACAUGUCACCAGAUGCCUCCUUGUUUAAAACCUUGGAUAGAAGUUGCAAAACCAAGGUCAAGGUUGGAAAUGGCCAGUUUAUAAAGGCUGAAGGAAGAGGAGAGGUGCUGAUAUGUACUCCUACAGGUAACAAGGUCAUACCAAAUGUGCUUUUGGUGCCUGAGAUUGACAGAAACCUUCUCAGCAUAGCCCAAUUGCUUGAGAAAGGUUAUUCUGUUGUAUUCAAGGAUAAACAGUGCCACAUUGCAGAUCCAAGUGGAUCAAGCCUUAUGACAGUCACAAUGACUGAUAAAUGCUUUAAGGUUCAUUGGUCAAAUGACUCAAAGUCAGCAUAUACAGCCUCUAUAGAUGACUCCAAACUCUGGCAUAGAAGGCUUGGACAUGCCAACUUCAGGUCAAUGGGUCGAAUGGCCAGUGAGGGCUUGGCUGAGAACUUCACCAACUCAGUGGAGUAUGAUGAUGUGUGUGAGGUCUGCCAGAUGGGGAAACAGGCAAGAUUGCCAUUUUCUACAAAUGCAGCAUGGAGAGCUACUGAAAGACUGCAGCUGGUGCACUCUGAUGUAUGUGGCCCGAUGAGGACUGAAUCACUCAGCAAAAACAGGUAUUUCAUCCUCUUCAUUGAUGAUUUUACAAGGUUUUGCUGGAUUUUCUUCUUAAAACAUAAGUCUGAGGUAGCUCAAGUGUUUGUGAAGUUUAAAACUACUGUAGAAACAGAAACAGGUUGCAAGCUGAAAUCGAUAAGGUCAGACAAUGGCACUGAGUACACUUCAGCUCAGUUUCAAGCCAUUUGCAAGGAUGCUGGCAUCAAACACCAGCUUACAAAUGUCUACACACCUCAGCAGAAUGGGGUAUCUGAAAGAAAGAACAGAAGUCUGAUGGACAUGGCCAGGUGCCUGUUGUUUGAGAAGAAACUGCCCAAAGCCAUGUGGGCUGAGGCAGUGAACACUGCUGUUUACCUACAGAACAGACUUCCAACCAAAGCUCUUACUCACAAGACACCUUUUGAGGCAUGGUUUGGUUUCAAACCUUCAUUGGCUCAUCUAAAGGUGUUUGGUUGCUUGUGUUAUACACAGAUACCAACAGUAAAGAGGGAUAAGCUAUCAAAGAGAGCUCAGGCUGGCAUCCUAGUUGGCUAUAGCUUAGUCAAAAAAGGAUAUCGGAUCCUGGACCCCUUGACAAGUAAAAUUCAAGUGAGUAGGGAUGUGAUUUUUGAUGAAAAGGCAUGCUGGAAUUGGGAUAAGAAUUCACCAGAAGCUGAGGUAAAUGAAAUGGUGCCUAACCAAGCUGAACUUGAGCAACUUUGUCCUGAAGUGGACUUUGAUGAUGUGCCUGUAAGAGGCACAAGGCUCUUGGAUAAAAUUUAUGAAAGAGCACAGGUUGCCAAAGUUGAACCUACCUGUUUUGAAGAAGCUGAGACAGAUGAAGGUUGGAAGCAAGCAAUGGCAAAAGAGAUCAGCAUGAUUGAGAAGAAUCAGACUUGGGAACUGGUUGAAAAACCUGUCAACAGAAGGAUCAUUGGAGUAAAAUGGGUUUAUCGAGUCAAGCACAAUGCAGAUGGAAGCUUAAACAAACUGAAAGCUAGACUGGUUGUAAAAGGCUUCAGUCAAAAAUAUGGUUUGGACUACAUGGAAACAUUUGCUCCAGUAGCCAGACUUGAUACAAUCAGAUUGCUUGUGGCUCUUGCUGCUCAAAACCAGUGGUCAAUUCACCAGAUGGAUGUAAAGUCUACAUUUCUCAAUGGCUUUCUGGAAGAGGAGAUAUAUAUUGAACAACCUCCAGGUUUUGUAAUGCCUAGUAGAGAACACUUGGUAUACAGGCUCAAAAAGGCCUUGUAUGGCCUAAAACAGGCUCCUAGAGCCUGGUAUGCUCGAAUUGAUUCAUACCUGAUCAGCUUAGGAUUCGAAAGAAGUUCUAGUGAACCAACUCUUUAUGUUAAGAAGAAUCAAGCAGAAACACAGCUUAUUGUGUCUCUUUAUGUGGAUGAUCUCCUUGUGACAGGAGGAGACAAGACUAUGUUAGAAGAUUUCAAAGGAAAAAUGAAGGAGAUGUUCGAGAUGUCAGAUUUGGGGUUGAUGACUUAUUUCCUUGGAAUAGAGAUACAACAAGCUGAUCAAGGGAUCUUUUUGGGACAAAAGGCAUUUGCUUUGAAAGUUUUAUCCAAGUUUUCAAUGCAAAAUUGCAAGCCAACAUGCACACCUAUGGCAGUUGGCAUAAAACUGUCGAGCCAAGAAGAACAUGAGCCUGUCAAUGAAUCAUUUUAUAGGAGCCUUGUUGGUUGUUUUCUGUAUUUAACAGCAACAAGACCUGACAUUCUGUUUGCUGUGAGCAUGCUAUCAAGGUUCAUGCACUGCUGUAACCAGCAACAUUACAAGGCUGGGAAAAGGGUGCUAAGAUACAUCAAAGGUACCUUAAACCAUGGAAUAUAGUUUAGAAGGGCUGAAGAGUUGAAACUGAUUGGCUACACUGAUAGCGAUUGGGCUGGUUCAAAGGAUGACAUGAAGAGCACUUCUGGCUAUGCUUUUACACUUGGCUUAGCUAUAAUAUGUUGGAGCUCAAGAAAACAAACAAUGGUGGCUCAAUCAACAGCAGAAGCAGAGUAUGUAGCAGCUGCCAAUGCUGUUAAUCAAGCUAUGUGGCUGAGAAAAAUUUUGAGCGAUUUGAAUCUACAGCAGAAUGAAGCAACUGUGAUACAUUGUGACAACAAGUCAGCAGUUGCUAUUGCUAAAAAUCCUGUCUUCCAUGGCAGGACAAAACAUUUCAACAUUAAACUCCAUGUGAUAAGAGAAAUGGAACAAGCUCGAGAGAUCGAGCUAAUUCAUUGCAGCUCAGAAGGUCAGAUCGCCGAUAUCUUCACAAAAUCACUUGGUACAUCGAGAUUUCUAAACCUAAGGAAGCAGCUAGGAGUCUGCUGCAUAGAAGCUGAGGAGGAGUGUUGAAGUCAACCCCCAUGCAGCAGCCAAGGUGACCAUGCAAGGUGGCCAUGCAGGGAUCGUGCUUUAACAGCAAACCGAAACUGCAUUGUUUCAUUUGGUUACUCAAAUGAACAUUUUGUAUUUUAGUUUGUUUUGAACUAAGUUGGUAACUGUAUUUUGAUGUAAUUAGGUGCUGAAUGACAAGUUUAGGUAGAAGUUUAUGUUUUCAAUCAAGUUUACCAAGUUACUAGGCAAUUUAGUGGUGUUAGGUAUGUUAUUAGGUGGCAACUUGUUUGUUUUGCUGUUGUUAUCUCAUAUAUGUAUUUGUAUUAUGGCUUGUAAAAAUGUUAAUGAAAAUUCAGCUCAUUUUCAUUCAAUUUCAUCUCUUUCUUUUCUGUUCUCCAUUGCAAAAUUUCUUUCUUCUUCUUCAAUAGUUUAUUCAGCAAGGCUCGACACUUGCUGUGCAAGCAAGCUGAAACCAUCUUGCUAUUACCUCUUGCACCAACAUGGAUUCUACAGAAGCAGGAGAGGAUGGUGGCGAUGAAAAGGAUGAUUAAGCUCCAAAGGUGCCUCGGCACAUGUCUUGUGGAGGUAAAACCCACAGCACUCCACACAGCUAAAACAUGGAGCUGACACCUUCUCCCCACACCUUGAGCAAUCAACAACUCCAUUGCCAUUGCCAAGCAACUGCUCUUCAUUUAACAUCAACAGUGGAUGUUGAUGCUCAUAGUUCUUUAGCUCUUCCAUUUCUCCUUCCUCUCCGUCUCUUUCGAUGUGGUAGAGAAAGAAAAAUUGAAAUUGACUAACUCAAAGAAAGCAGAAAAUUAGAAGGGAGAGGUUCCAAAUGUUUAUUUGUAGGAAUCUCUUUGAACUUGCUAUGGUACUUUGCUUCAACAGUGGGUUGCCUAUACCUAUAUAUGUUUGAUCUUCUUUAUAAUUACUAUGAAUGGGAUGCAAUGGGUUUGAGUGUACUCUAAGUAAAUUAUCAAUUUUUUUCCUUUAUUCUUUGCUUUGUGGAUUAACUAAUUUUGUGGAUUAGAUAACGAAUAUUCUGAUAUUGUUUGUGUGCCAAAAAAAACAAGAUGAUAUGAUGAAAGGUAUUUUUACAGGUUACGAAUUUUUCAACUGAGAAUGAUAUCAAACAAUCAAAUUAUUCUAAAAAAAUUGAAUUAAAUCAUUUAUCUAAUCGAAAAUUAAAAACCUAUUUAAUUUAUUCUGGUGAUUAGAAUAAAAAAAAUUUGAACAAAGCUAGAUAGAUUAAUUCUAACAUUUUUGUGAGGCUAAACCAUAAUUUUACCAUAUAUUAACUUAAUAUUUUAUAAAAUUUAGGAGAUUAAAGCAACAAUUAGAAAGAUAUAAAUCCCAACGUGUUUAAGCACAUAUUUUUUCUUUAAUUUAAAAUUAUGAAAAAAUUAUAAAUAAAAGUUAAUUAUAUUAUACUCUAAAGUCUAUUCUUUGUCAUAAAGUAUUCAACUUUUGCAGCCGACAAUAUUAAGAAAAAAAAUUUGUUCCUCCAACAAUCACUUUCUUUUAUAAUUAAAAUUUGAAUUUUGAUUUUCAAAGCCCUUAAUAUUUCAAACAAGUUGGUGGAAAUUUCCAAAUCGUCCCUUUAUUAUAAAGAUUUGUUUGAUUUAGUCUCUAUAUUAUUAAAUGAAUUGAUUUAGUCCGUGUACUAUUAAAAAGUAUCAAUAAGGGAAAAUUGGAAAAUACUUAAAUAUUUACUAUAUAAAAAAUGUCAUUUAUUGUUUCGUAUUUUUAAAUUUUUUACGGUUCUGUAAAUGAAAUCUUGUGUUUUGAAAAAAAAUAUUUUCAAGACAUUUUUUAUAUUGUUAACUUUGUUACAAAUUAGACAGACUUAAAUUUUUUUGAUAGUAUAGAGACUAAAUUUAUUUAUUUAAUAAUAGAAAUUUUAAUUUGGUCCAAUCCCUAUAAUACAAGGAACUCACGGGACAAACACAAUAAAUUUGAUGCUAACCUAUGAAGUUUUGAAAAUUAAUGUAUGCAAUUAUAAAAUGAUACAUGCGUAGUUGACUAUGUCAAAAUGGGAAGUAAAUGGGAUAAAUCUCAAAAUUAUACAUACAUGAACUUUAUUUUGGUGCAAUUAUAGACGUGAAACGCUAUUGUGAUUCAAAUGUAUAUUUGAAACUUUAAUUUUGAUUUAAUCAUACACAUUUAAAGAAAUAAAGUCAAGUUUUAUUUUUAUAUUGUAUAAAAAUAAUAUUUAUGUAUGCAAUAUAUAAACAUAAAAUGAUGUUAUAUCAAUAAUCAUGUUAAUAAUUUAAAAGAAUAGGAUCAAAUUAAAAUUUCAUGUAUAUAAUUGCACAUUAAAUCAUAGUUCGUAUAUAAUUUUGAAAUUUAUCCAUAAAUAAAUUAGUUAAAUUUUUAAUUGGAUUUAACCUCUCUUUUGCACAUAUUAUAAUUUAUUCAUGGAGCUUCACAAAAAAGCAUAAUCGUAAUCAAAAUCAAGAUUAUGGAGUUUAAAAUGAUAAAGUUUUUUGAAAAUCGUAAUAUUUUAGAUUUAAAUUUCAUCAUUAGUAGGUUUGAUGUUUUUAGUCUAUUAGUUCAUGAUACUAACUUGAUUAGAAAUUUUCAGUUGGAAUAAUUUGUCCACUUCAAUUGUACAAACUAUUAAAAAAACCCAUAAAUAUAUAAAAAAUAUAUAUAUAUAUUCAACCAUAAAUUUAUAUCGAUUCAUAGAUCAAUCGAUCCAACUUCUUAUUUCGAACUGAUACCUCAAUUAGAAGUGUCCAUGAGACUUGCAAUAUACAUGGGGCAUCUGCACAGCUCACUCCCGAUCAAGCAAGCAUCGAAUUCUUCGAAACCGUGCAGCAUUAGUAAGGAGACAUUUUUUCAAAGUGAGCAUAUUUCAAUUUCAUUUUGUCAAGGUUCUUAUUCAAAGCGUCUAUGUGUAUACCUUUCUCAUUAAGUUCUGUCUUCUUCCUUAGUUCCUUAUAUGCACUCUUAACAGUGAAGUCACCAUCAAAUGAUUGCGAAGUAGGUCCCACUUCCAUGAGUUGUCUUAUUUUUUCCUCCAAUACACUUCCAAGCAGGGAAAGAGCUAUCGAGGGCGGAACUUGAAGGUGUUCUGGUUUUUGUUGAACCUUUUUUGUUUCAUGUCAAUGGGACCUUAUCCAAUUGGCAAUGGUGGGAAAACAAAGUUUGCCAUUUUGAUCCAUUUGUAAGGUUAAGUCACUUGGCAGUGGGGGUUUCACAGUUGAGUGGCAAGGGCUAUGGAGGCGGAAGCUUCUUUUUGUCUGUAUUUUUUUAGUUUUAUGUAAUUUCGUUGAUAGGAUAGAAUGGUUAAAGUGAUAUGUUCAGGGUGAGAAUCCAACUUGAGUAACUGUUCACCUGCACUGAAUAACUUGUAUGUUGAGAAAUUUAAAUUCUUGGUGUUAUUUUGUUGGGUUGAAGUUAUUGAUGUUAGAUGUAUGUAUGUGUGUGUUGUAUGGUAGAUAUUGUAUAUGGUUGAUAUUUUAAGUUCUAUGGAAUCUGGCUCUUUUUGAAGUAAAUGAUUGAGGUCAAUUUGUUGAGUUGAAAUAUGUAGGAUAUGGCAUUUGAAUUUUAUGAUUCCUAUUUGUGGAGCAAGAUAAAUGUAUGAUUUGGUUAAGGUUGCUUGCCUUUGUAUGUGAUGUUUGAAAUGUGGUGCUAAUGAGGGCUAUGUUGGUUAGGUUCUUAUAUUGUAUGAAAUUGACAUGUUUUGACUUGUUUUGAGGUGUAUUUGAUGACAUUUUUAGAGUGGUUAUAGGCUUGGUUUGGUAGCCAAGAUAGGUUUGAAAUUUGCCUUGUUUUGGAAGCAAAAAUUGGUGCACAUGGUCAGGGAUACAGGCUAUACAUGGUCUACCCUCGGUCCCAUACGGCCGUGUGUCCUAAUGAUUUUAGGUGCAGGGCACACACGGUCUAAGACACAACCAGCGACAUGGUCGUGUGACCCAAAAACAAAUACACACACGGGCAGUCACACGGCCAUGUGACCUUAAUUUGAAUAUACACAUGGGUGGGCACACAGUCGUGUAUCUCGACUUUGAAUGUCCACACAGUCUAGGCUAUUACACACGGCCAUGUGUCCCUUGUUUUAAAAAUUUUCAUCUUUUUUCCUAACUUUUCCGUUUUGUUCCAAAUUGACCCUAGAAUGUUUCUAAUUUACUUUUAGGGCUCCGUAAACUCAGUUUAAGGCCUGUAAAUGUAUGUUUAUUGUGAAUUGAUUGUGAUUUGAUUAAUUGUAAUUAUAUUGAAUAAUUGUUUUUAAGUAGUGUUAAAUGUUUGAAAUGUUAUAGUAAUACUCCAUGACUUUAAUUCAGCGACAGACACUGGUUCAGGGCGUUAAGUUUAAAUUAUCUUUUAUAAAUUUUAUAUAAAUGCAUGAAAAAUACAAAAAGAAACACUCUAUAAUAAUAUUUAUUAAUCAUUAAAACUUAGUUUUUUAAUAUACUUUUCUUGAUCGAGUUAGUGUCGAGCUAACUCAUGAUACUGUCUAAAUUCAUGACGCCAAUUCAAUCAUACACUUAAAUAAUAGUAAAAAUGUUAUUAUUUAUGAAAAGAUCAAAAUAUCAAUGUUGAAUCCCAAAAUGAAAUCAGCAAUUAAGAUUUGAAAUAUAAGUAGAGAUGGUAAUGGAGUGGGGCGGAAUGGUUUUUUGUCCACCUGAACCGAUAUACCUCUAACAUAAUCCGACUUUGAUCCAACUCAAAAUUAAAUAUUAAUUUACUUAUCUUGAACCUUACUCGAAAAAUUAAAGUUAUACCCUAUUUCGAUCAAUAUACCAAUACUUUUAAUUGUUUUUAUAUGUUUUUAUUAAAAUAGAAUAAUAGUUUUAAAGUUUUUAACGACAACAUUACUUUUUUUUUUGUAGUUAUAGUUAUGGUAGGGAAAAUAUUUUUAUAAUUAUCAUAUUUUAUAAUCUAAUAUUAUAUAUAAAUGUUUAUUUUGGUAAUUACGGGGCAAAUUUUUCUAAAUCGGAGAAAGAAUUAUAUGAAAUUGUGAUUCCACGUUAUCUGUAUCAUUUUCUAAUACGAAAAUGACAAAUCAGAAUUUAAGAUUUAAUCCAUGUACUUUAAAAGUUAAAAUUUCAAUUAUCCUACUUCUACGAUUUAAAAAUUCUAGUCCAAUUAUUAUUAUUUGUAAUUUUUUUGUCAAAAAAAUCAACUAACAUCAUAUGAAAUGUUAUAUGAUGGCAGUCUAAUCAGCAUGCCAAAUUGGAAGAUUUUGAUGGAAAUUAUUAACAAUGUUAAAGAUUAGAAUGAAAAUUUUAAAUCAGAAAAGUAAUAUGACUAAAUUUUAAAUUUUAUCUAAGCCAAAGGGACUAGCAACAUAUUUUCACAAAAGAAAUUGAUAGACUAAUUAAUUUAGGUUUUAGACUAAGCAAAAUUGUCAUUUCCAACUAUAUUCAACUUGUAUAAAUACGGAAGCUAAUAACUUUUCAUGGAAUCUAAGGACAAAAAAUAAUUAACAUACUGCAUGUAAGAAAAAGAAGAAAUAAGCAAAUCAUAUAAAUUUUAUUAUCAUAUAUUUACAGUUCAAACCUCACAAUUUUCAGCCUUAAAACAUUACAUUGAUUAAACAUACAAUUAAAAAGUAUCAAGCUUUAAGAACAACCACAAUUUUUUUUUUUUGGUGAAACUGAAGCCUCAAUUUUCAGCACCUACCACGGAUGGUUGAUUUUCUGCAUUCCCAAUAAGCAAUAUACUUGCAUCCUAGUUCUGCACAUUCAAUAAAAAUAUAUUUACAAGGCUUACUACAUUCAACACAUUCAGGAUAGUAAGGAAAGUUCUUGACAAAGUGAGAGGGUGUGGAUGGUCUCCCUCAUUGUAGGUGCUCCCGAGUUUGAUGAAUGGAUAUUUUCUAAGAACGCAAUCUACAUGAGCAGAAGUGUCACAAGUUUCACAAUGAUAAAACCAAUUCUUUGAAUCCCUUUUUUUCCUCACAAAUGUCACAAUAAUGAUAUUUUGUAUAAUCAUUAAUCUUGUGAUAAGUGAGGUUAAGAGGAUGAUCAUCUCAAUUGUGUCCGAUUCUAGUUGGUCGCAUAACACAAUGAAGGCAUAAACCAAAGUUACAAUCUUUACAACCAUAUGUGUUACUGAGAUCCGUCCCACAACCACUACACUGCUCCUCGAAAUGAUAAUAAUCAUAAUAGAAAAGAAGAGGGUGUUUAUGCCCUGGAAUUUUUAGAUCUUAUUGGAGAGUUGCACACCGAACGCACGUGUGAAUUCCACAUUCAUUACAUUUAUAAGAAAAUCCAUUAGAAAGGUAGCUGCAUUGAUCAGAUUCGAACAUGCAGUCUGAAGUAAGGAUGAAGGGUUUUGAUCCAGAAAAAAUAGAUGCAUAUAGUCUAUACCUUUUUUUCUUGGUAAAAAAAGGUCAUUGCGGUCCCAAUCAGAUAUACCUUUCUUUAUUGGGAUAAUAUAGUUUUUGGCCCUUAAACUUAAUAAUUAAAUUUUCUUUGAUACUUGUAUUUUUUUUACUUUGGUCUUUGAAUUUGAUAACUAAAUUCAUUUUGAUCCUUAAACUUGGUACUGGAGCAUUUUAUGAAUUUUAAUUAUUUAUUAAAUUAUUAUUGGUCCAACAGUUGUACUGAUCGAAUUGAGAAUCGGUGAUCUCGGUUAUUAAAACACUAAAUUUGACACUCUUAAAAUUAAUGUGUAGUUAAAUUUUAUUUUGACCCCCAAAAUGAAAAAAAAAUCAUUUCAGUCCUUUUAUAAAUAAAGAAAUUAUAAAUCAAUAUAUAGUAAAAUUUCUCUUUAGCCCCCUAAAAAUGAAAAAAAUUAUGUUUAAUUGCUUAAAAAUCAUGAAAUUAUAAAUUAAUACAUAAUAAACUUAUUUUUUAUCUAUGAAAAAAUUGUAAUUAAUUUCGCCCCUUGUUAAAAAAAUUUCUAGAUUCGCCCCUACCAAAGUGAAUGUUUAGGGGUCAAAAAUUAUAUUAUCCCUUCUUUAUCUUUCAUUUUUAUUUUCCAUUUUUUUUACAAUUUUUGGUAUUUAAUUAAGAGAAAAUUGGCCCUCAUUUUCAUCUCUUAUCUCAAGGUAUUCACGGUUAAAAAUUAAGAGAAUUAAGAGAAUUUUUGAGAGGUUAAAGCUAAAAUUCUUGCAUUAAAAUAAAUAUUAAACUUUUGAAAGGAUCAAAAAUGAAAAACUUUCAUUUAACAAAAACAAUUUAAAAAGAAUUAAAUUGAAUUUUUAAUAUUUUAGAAAGACUAAAAUUAAAUUGUAUCAUUUAAUCAAGGUUCAUAUUCUUCUUAUAAACCAACCCUUUAUUUAUUGAAAUAUAUAUUUGUUUCUCUGAAAAUAUUUCAUAAAAAAUAUUUUCAAAAAAUUUGCCAUGGAUUCUAAAUAAAAUUUCUUGUGAAACAAAUGGAUUGUAAACAUUUUUUUUAUAUCUAACUAUAUCCAACUUAUAUAAAUAUGGAAGGUAGCACAUAAGGACUAAUUAUUCAUGGAAUCUAAGGAUUUUUAUGAUUUUAGUUAGCAUGCAACAAAUUUAAUAUAUGAAAAUUAAAGAAGAUAUAAGCAACUCAUAUCAAUUUUAUUCUCAUAUAUUUACAAUUCAAAUCUAAAUAUAUUACAUUGUUUAAACACACAAUUAAAAAGUAGCAACCAUUAACAACAACCGCGCAUUGUCUUAUUCUGAAACUAAAGCCGCAAUUUUCAGUAUCUACCACCGAUUUCUGCAUUUCCAAUGAGCAAUAUAGUUACAUCCUAGUUCUGCACAUUCAACAGAAAGAUCUUCACAGCGCUUACCACAUUUAACACAUUCAGGAUAGUAAUGAAUCUUCUUGACAAAUGUGAGAGGGUGUUCAUGGUUUCCCUCAUUGUAGGUGCUCCCGAGUUUGAUGAAUGAAUAUUUUCCAAGAACGCAAUCCACGUGAACAGAAGUGUCACAAGUUUCACAAUAGUAAAACCAGUGCUUUGGAUCUCUUUCUUUCUCACAAAUGUCACAAUAAUGAUAUUUUGUAUAAUCAUUAACCUUGUCAUAAGUGAGUGCAAGAAUAUGUUGAUCGCAUUUGUGUCUAACUCUAGUUGGUCGUAGAGCACACAAAUGGCAUAAGUGAAGAUUGCAAUCCUUACAACGAAAUGCGCGAAUGAUAUCCCUCCCACAAGCACUACACUGCUCCUCAUAAUGAAAAUAGAAAAGAAGAGGGUGUUUAUGCCCUGGAAUUUUUACAGCAUCUUGGAGAAAUAGAUCAAGACAUCGAAGGCAGUCGGCUUCUCCACAUUCAUUACAUUUAUAAGAAAAUCCAUUAGAAAGGUACCUGCAUAGAUCACAUUUGAACAUGCAGUCUGAAGUAAGGAUGAAGGGUUUUGGUCCAGAAAAAAAUUGCGUUCCUCCACAUAAAUGUUUUGAAAAAGACUUCAUCUUAGGCAAUUCAGCACAAGAUUUAUGAAGAAAGAAAUCACACCGCGAGCAAUGGUAGAACUUAGCGGAGAUCAAUAACAAGCACCCAUCACAACAUUUAUCACCAUGCUCUCUGAUAUUGUCACUUAAUAUCAAGUGGUGCUUAUGCUUGCAAUGUUCUAUUACUGUGGCUUCUCCAGCAUCAUUCCUCUCAAGAACCUUAUUGAUGGAGUUAACAGGUAUAUCAAGAGACUUGUCAGCUUCAUUUUCCUGUGAUACUAUGCAAUACAACUUCUUUUCUUUCAAUGCACAAUCCACAUGGAAUAUAACAUUACAAUCUGCACAGAAGUAACUACCGUGCUCUGUAUCGACAACUUCAUGGCACAUAAUGCAAUUCAAACUUUCAAAAUAUUCCUUGUGAAUGAAAUACGUGUGAAAAACACGAUGGACAUGGAAAGAGUGUUGGAGAAUGCGUGGCAAUGAAAUGCAUUUUUUAUGGACCAUAAUACUGCAUGUACAACAUGCAUAGGCAACAUGAUGUCCUUCGGUGCCACAAGCAUCACAAAUGAAUGGAAUUUGUCUCCAAAUCAAGGUGAAUGGGUGUUGAUGACUUUUAUCUUCAAUAACUGGUAAUGGCGAUAAACAAUCAAUGUGAAUAGCCANNNNNNNNNNNNNNNNNNNNNNNNNNNNNNNNNNNNNNNNNNNNNNNNNNNNNNNNNNNNNNNNNNNNNNNNNNNNNNNNNNNNNNNNNNNNNNNNNNNNNNNNNNNNNNNNNNNNNNNNNNNNNNNNNNNNNNNNNNNNNNNNNNNNNNNNNNNNNNNNNNNNNNNNNNNNNNNNNNNNNNNNNNNNNNNNNNNNNNNNNNNNNNNNNNNNNNNNNNNNNNNNNNNNNNNNNNNNNNNNNNNNNNNNNNNNNNNNNNNNNNNNNNNNNNNNNCCACAUGCUCUAGCUCUUCCAAAUUUCUUUCCGCAAUAUUAAAUGUAAACAAAGCACAUUUAAUAUGAAAGUUCAAGCCACAAGAGCAAUGGUAAAUGAAUUUCUCACAUGUUUCAUCACAGAAAUCGCAAACGCACCUUGUAUAAGAAGUGUAAGGUGGAGUCUGCAGAAGCAGGAGAGGAUGGUGGCGAUGAAAAGGAUGAUUAAGCUCCAAAGGUGCCUGGGCACACGUCUUGUGGAGGUAAAACCCACUGCACUCCACACAGCUAAAACAUGGAGCUGACACCUUCUCCCCACACCUUGAGCAAUCAACAACUCCAUUGCCAUUGCCAAGCAACUGCUCUUCAUUUAACAUCAACAGUGGAUGUUGAUGCCCGUAGUUCUUUAGCUCUUCCAUUUCUCCUUCCUCUCCGUAUCUUUCGAUGUGGUAGAGAAAGAAAAAUUGAAAUUGAAUAACUCAAAGAAAGCAGAAAAUUAGAAGGGAGAGGUUCCAAAUGUUUAUUUGUAUGAAUCUCUUUGAACUUGCUAUGGUACUUUGCUUCAACAGUGGGUUGCCUAUACCUAUAUAUGUUUGAUCUUCUUUAUAAUUACUAUGAAUGGGAUGCAAUGGGUUUGAGUGUACUCUAAGUAAAUUAUCAAUUUUUUUCCUUUAUUCUUUGCUUUGUGGAUUAACUAAUUUUGUGGAUUAGAUAACGAAUAUUCUGAUAUUGUUUGUGUGCCAAAAAAAACAAGAUGAUAUGAUGAAAGGUAUUUUUACAGGUUACAAAUUUUUCAACUGAGAAUGAUAUCAAACAAUCAAAUUAUUCUAAAAAAAUUGAAUUAAACCAUUUAUCUAAUCGAAAAUUAAAAAUCUAUUUAAUUUAUUUUGGUGAUUAGAAUAAAAAAAUUUGAACAAAGCUAGAUAGAUUAAUUAUACAAUUACCGAGCCACCAAUCGGCUCUCUUAGGAUAAUCUGUUACAGAAAUUACUCUUAACUCCCUUGGUAUCUGCUCAACCACUUUAAUCCCAAUGGGGUCAUCGUUCAUUAAAGUAACCAUAUAAUUAGACGUGAAUGAGACAUCUUUAUUAUAGGAAUGAUCCACAUUCAUUGUCCUGCAGUACAAACUGAAUCUACAAGCUAAUGAUAGAAACAUAAACCAAAAUAUAUAGUACAUUGUUUGAUUAAAAUUGAAAACAUGGUUCAUAUUUGUCCAUUGCAAUGUUCAGAUGUUCAAUAACAUGCAAAAGAUAUAUAUAUAUAGUCUAAUGACAGCUUCAAGUUUAUCUAAGCAAAUACACAUAUAUCACCCAAAACUUCCCACAGAAACUCAAAUUUAAGUACUAAUAAGUUCAUAAAACAAGUUAAACGAAAGAUUACAUCAAGGGAAAAAGACAAUCAAGACAUGUAACUAUACCGAUACUCAUAUUUAAUCAAACUCACAAAGCGAUAACCGCGUGUCGUUUGUGCUUGAGGAAUGUCUGAAACUCUUUAUAACCACUCCUGUAAUGGUCCAGACUGAAAGUAAGCUGUCUUAUUACCUCUCUUUUCUCUUCAGACACAUCUAAGAUCAUGCUCCUUUGCUUAUCCACUUCCUUCUCAAGGUCCUUUAUCUUCAAUUUCAACUCAUCUUCUAGAUUCUUUGUUAGCUGCAUAUGUUCCUUGCUUAAUUGUUGUAAAUGGUCCUCCAUUUGUCUGAUCUGUAAAUCACGAGAACGAACCUCGGCCACGAGAUUGUUUACUGUUGCAGUAACACAAUCUUUGUCUUUCAUAAGCAUAUCAUAUUUCAAUUUCAUUUUGUCAAGGUUCUUAUUCAAAGCUUCUAUCUGUAUACCUUUCUCAUUAAGUUCUGUCUUCAAUUGAUUGAUCUGACCUUGUAAGUUGGUUUCUUGUACAGCAAGCAAGCUUUCGAUAACUGGUAAUGGCGAC